UACCUCGUCGACUGGAAGGGGUUUCUUCCGGCCGACGAGGUACAUGUACCUCGCCGGCUGGAAGGAAAUCCUUCCAGUCGACGAGGCAUGUACCUCGCCGGCUGGAAGGAAAUCCUUCCAGUCGACGAGGCA
rnacentral:miRNA from 1 species